rnacentral:rRNA from 1 species
UACGUAGGGUGCGAGCGUUAAUCGGAAUUACUGGGCGUAAAGCGUGCGCAGGCGGUGAUGUAAGACAGUUGUGAAAUCCCCGGGCUCAACCUGGGAAUUGCAUCUGUGACUGCAUCGCUAGAGUACGGUAGAGGGGAUGGAAUUCCGCGUGUAGCAGUGAAAUGCGUAGAUAUGCGGAGGAACACCGAUGGCGAAGGCAGCCCCUGGGCCAACACUGACGCUCAGGCACGAAAGCGUGGGGAGCAAACAGG